rnacentral:lncRNA from 1 species
GAGUGGGGAGAGGGAUUCCUAAGAACAUCUUGCUUCCAGGUGCCCCUGUGAGUAACCUGUCCUGUCCAUUGCCCCUCCGCCUGUACCCAGAUAAAUCUGGUCCUAUCAGAUGGCUACAGAUAUCCUGCUUUUACAAAUGAGAAAACUGAAGCUCAGGAAAGGGAAAUGACUUGCCUCCGUGUGUGUAACUGGUCGGACCUGGACUGUCUGGUUUCCAGACCCAAUUCAGAAAACACCACGCUUCAACAAAGUCUAAAGCUCGUAAUGAAGAAGCCAUAGAUCUGGGAUCUGAGAAGGAUGAACCCACGACCUUCAGGGAAGUGGCCAGGAAGCCGCGAGUUUAAGGGAACCAAACAGAUCCUGUGGUCUGAGCCACUUGCCUGUACUUAUCUCAAUCGGAAGGAACAGUGUGAAGGACCGGGGAGAUAUCUUCCCUUCCCUAGAAAUUAGGUUGGCCUUACUGCUUAACAUCAACCAAGAGGAAAGAGUGAAAGUGAUGCUGCCUGACGUGAAAAAAGUCAGAAGACCUGUUUCUCCUGCCUUGGUCUCCUGGAGCACUCUCUUCCUGAAUACUACAUUUAGAGCUGCUCCCUGUCAGAACUCAGCUAUUAUGAUGUGGGGAGCCCCUGUUACAAGGUGACGCUGCUCCUCUGGCCGCAGAUGAUUGGUCCAGUUACCUGAGCCAAUUAGACCAAGCAGAGGCAGUCCCUUGGAGACUGGAACCUGGAAAUAAUAAAGGAAGAGAGCCUGUCCUUUGCUGGUAGUGAGAGAAGUUCAGAUAUCUGGAUGGAAAGGAGCUACCUCUGAACCUGAUGAAGAAGCAACAGGGAACCACUCAGUUACCUGGACUUCAAGCUGAACGUGGGUGAAUAUCUGUCUCCUGGAAUAGAUGACAGCGGGUUCUUCUGGGAGAAUGCAUUAGGGAGGUUGAAGUCUGAGCUCCUUAGCAUGAUGUGAUGGACCGACCUAGCAUGAUCUGACUUCUGCUGAUGGCUCCAACUUCACCCCCAACCCAGACCAACUAAAAGGUCAUAAGAGAGGUCUCCGUUAAGCUGAUACAAGAAGAAGAAGAAGAGAGAGGAAUUUAUUAAUGGACUCAUCCCAGAAGGGUCGUAUAUAACUUCCAUUCACAUCUCAUCGAGCCCAACAGUCACUGGGCCACACCUGGAUUUAAAGGAACAGGAGGAGUCAUGGUCUAGGUGUAGGUUAGAGAAAAAGGGGAGGUCACAUAUGUUGGUGAACCUUGGGGUCUCCAGCAUGGUAGAGUACAUGUAGUGGUGGGGGAGCUUUUGGUCAUUGUUCUUCCAUCCAUUCCUUUGAUACAGGAUUUCUCUAUGUGGGCACUGCUGACACCUCGGGCUGGACAAUUCUUUGUUACACAGGGAUGUCCUGUGUGUUGUAGGAUGUUUCCCAGCUUUUCGGGUCUCUACCUUCUAGAUGUCAGUAAACCCCUCCACCCCCUCCAAUCAUGUCAAUUAAAAAUAUCUCCAAAUAGUUCCAUGUGUUAUGUGGGGGAGGGGGGUGUCCCUAGUUUGAUGUGCUGUUUCUUUACUGAGUGUUUCCUGAAGGCGGUGAAAUAUCUCUUAUUUGCUAAAGUGGUAAUGUUACAGAAUUUCUUGAUUCAAAGAUAUCAGGAAUUUAUAUUUUUCCUGAUUCUUUAUUCACAACAGUACCCCUAGUAUCACACUAGUGAGAAACCAAUGGAAGAAACCAGAUCUUAUCUUAAUUUUUAGCCCAUUUAUAUGCCUGCACAUAAUAUUUAUCUCUUUGCUCAUCUCCCUGGAUCUCUUAUGAUCAAUAAUAUGCCUGUAGAUUAAUUUCUGUUUUUAAUCCUUGUUCGGUCAUCUUACUCUGGAAUACUGAAUCUACUUUCCCACAACCUUUGAAUCUGUAGGCCUAGACUGAGUUUCAGCCUUUCUUCUCUUUUUGACAGGGAACAAGAAUCAUACAAGAACCAAAAGGAUCAUAUACCAGAAAUAUCAAAAAUUGACUCUCGUGCUGUAGUGACCACAACCUGCACUCCUGCUGACAUCAUUAAUGAAUCAGAAUACUCUCCUCCUGAGCCUGGAGCCCACCUCAGAAUCCAGGAAGCAACUGAGGCAGUUGAUAGAUUGAACAGGAUUGUAAAAAGAGAUUCAAAUUAUUUGGUCUCCAAGCUCUGGUCAUUUUUAGAGCUACAGAAACUGAAAACCAGGUGAUGAAAAGGAGUGCCCAGGCCACCUGGAGUUUUGGUCUUCUGACCUCGUGUUUCUUCGCCUGUCCCUCAUUUAUGAAUCAAGGAGGCUUGUCCAAGCCCAGUGACUUGCUUGGAAGUAGAGCCUUGAAAAGUGUGCUAAAAAUAAGAGUAUUGCUUAGAAUGGUGGGGGUGAACUUGAGUUUAACCAGAUUCUCUUUUCUUUGCUUUUUGAGCAACAAAGAAUACUCCUGUGUGUUGCACAAAGAUUGGAGAGGCUAUAAUAAUCCCUGCCACCAUGACUUUUAAGAGAUCAAAGAAAAUUCUGAGUGGUACCUAAAUGUCCAAAUUUAAAAUUCAAGAAAAAAAUAAGCAGCAGCACAUAAAAACUUUUCUGCAGCAGCCUGCAGGAAGGGUAAAUAUGGCAUGUAUAUUUGAAUGAAAGAAUUUGAGAUUCAGUCUUAGCCAGCCUUUUUAGGAAAAAAAAAAAGUCAGGGUCUGAUGGGAAAUAAAAAGCUGUUUAUGUUUUAUCGUUUGUAUACAAUAAAAUACACUGGGAAGAAAAA